AAAUAUAAAAAAGCAAUUGCUUAUCAAAACCAGGUUACUAUUCCUAUCAGGUAUGAUACUGACCAGAUUGUCAAGACUGCAACAGGAUUUGAACAAACUUCCAGACAUCAUUAAUAUGACAUUUUUAUGAGUUAUGCACCAUCUGCAAUUGUCAUAAUACAUCUUAUGUUGCAACUUACACUCAUUGUAUUUUUCUGUAUUUUAUUAAUUUUCUAUUAGUAUGUUUAUAUAUCCAGAUUUAUUGCUGAUAUUACCAUGCUGAAAGUAUGUUACCUAGGAACAAACCAUAAUGCUAGAUUUCCAUGAGAACGCUCAAAGCUUUCCCUUAUGCUCACCCUCAGUGAGGCAAGAAGACUAACAGUACCUUCUCUCACAGAGGUAUGGGAUUUACAUGUGUCAUCCAGAAUCUUCUACAUGACAUUGCUGGCACUCCAUUGACUGUUAUUUUGUUUAGUAAGGGGUAGGUUUUCAUUCAAUUGUUCCUGUCCUCUGAGUAUGACUUACCUAUAAUAGAACACAAGUAUUUAUAGGGAGCUGACACCUGUAACAGUUCUAUGAAAAUUGUCGUUGUAUGUUGACUAUAAAAGAGAAGUUCUGGUUUUGUCAAGCUUUGAUGACAAGCUAUGGCUUGCUUUCUGUUCUGUAAAAUCCCAUAACAUUAAACAUAAUAAUUUAUUAGUGCAAAGAGAAGAGAUUAGAGGAAUGGAAGAGCUUUACAUUUCUUAACUUCAUUUCCUAUUUUUGUACUGGGUGGCUUACUGAGAUAUCAGCUUUCACUGAACAAAAAAAUUUCUUUCCUUUGAGAGACUGGAGUCAUGUCAUCAUACUGUUUCUUGCUUGACAAGUGUAUAUUAACUUAAAUGGUUUGUUUCAUCUGCUCCUUCUGGUGCCUUUGUGUUAACACCAAGUGAUGAUUAAGAAAGGUCUCUUUUGUAUUUUCUUCCAGCUUUAGAAGUCACGAUCACAGACAUACUGUAUGGUAAUAAGCUGCUGCAGAUUUUGACUGGUGCAACAUGUAAUCAUCUUGAAGAGAUCUACUGUUCUUCUGGUUGAAUGAGAUUCAGGCAGAAAAGCUUCAGCAGUCAUAGCAAAAUGAUCAAGUGUAAAUAUGCUUAUUUUUGGUUUGCACAGGAGGAAGAACUCAACUUUCUGUUAAGCUUUAAAAUUUGUUCCUUCUGCUCCAUACACAAAUAAAAGUUUCUGGAUAUUAA